rnacentral:rRNA from 1 species
UUCGGAAUGAAGAUUUUGUGACUGAGUGGCGGACGGGUGAGUAACGCGUGGGUAACCUGCCUCAUACAGGGGGAUAACAGUUGGAAACGACUGCUAAUACCGCAUAAGCGCACAGGGUCGCAUGAUUCUUAUGCCAAAGAUUUAUCGCUUCAAGAUGGCCUCGCGUCUGAUUAGCUGGUUGGCGGGGUAACGGCCCACCAAGGCGACGAUCAGUAGCCGGACUGAGAGGUUGAACGGCCACAUUGGAACUGAGACACGGUCCAAACUCC